CUCCAGCAUGGCGGAUGACGAUUAGUCCUACGUGAAAGUUGUUUAGAGGUGUGACCGGCAUUAGAAAAUGAUACACGCUCAUGUGUGCCGUUUGAUGUAAUAAAGGCGGUAUUUGGAAGCUUACAAUAUGUUUUUGACUCGUGCACUUGAGAAGAUUCUAACUGACAAAGAAAUUAGAAAGGCUCAUCAUUCUCAACUAAAACGGGCUUGUGAGGUGGCACUUGAGGAAUUAAAAAAUGACCAGAAAGACCAGAGAACUUUUCGUAGGAAAAAUGUGGAGAACACAUCCUCGUCAGCCCUGCCGAUGCCAAAAAAGGCUGGGUUUGUGGAAGCAGACAAGUACUUUCUUCCAUUUGAGCUAGCAUGUCAGUCAAAAUGUCCCCGGAUUGUGAAUGCAGCUCUGGACUGUCUUCAGAAACUGAUAGCAUAUGGCCACCUUACUGGAAAUGUACCCGACACUACAACUCCAGGCAAGAGACUGAUAGACCGAAUAGUUGAAACAAUAUGCGGCUGUUUUCACGGACCACAGACAGACGAGGGAGUACAGCUGCAAAUAAUAAAGGCUUUAUUGACCGUUGUGACAUCCAACACCUGUGAGAUACACGAGGGCACCGUGCUGCAGACGGUGCGGACAUGUUACAAUAUCUACCUGGCCAGCAAGAACCUCGUCAACCAAACCACAGCCAAGGCCACUCUCACACAGAUGCUCAAUGUCAUAUUCUUCAGGAUGGAGGCACAAGCAGAGCAAGAGAGACAGUCAAAGCAGGAGAAUAAAGGUCGAAAUGACAAAGUGUCUAACAAGGGAGAUGGCAUUGAGGAUCAGACAGAGACAGAGGAAAACGAUGCUGUGGAACAAGACAGAGAUACGACAGACAACAAUGGAGAACAAGAAAAACAAGAAAAUAAUGAACCUGAAUCUCCAGAAGAUAUUGCCCAAGGGAUUCUUGACGAACUGUUAGAUCAGAUUGUUUCAGGUCCGAAGGGUGAUCCUACCUCCCCAAACUCAGACCAGCCUCUCCCUCCUCCAGGUUCCAGCUCCGGUCCUGAGCCUGACCCCACCCCUACAGUAGAUGGGGUGAAAGGUGGAGGACUCUCACGUCUGACGUCAGAUGACAGUAUUGAGGCUGGGGACGGCGUGGAACAGAUGCAGGGGGCAUUCAGUCACAUCCUGCAGAAAGAUGCGUUCCUCGUGUUCCGCAGUCUGUGUAAACUGUCCAUGAAACCACUUGGGGAAGGCCCGCCUGAUCCAAAAUCCCAUGAGCUGAGGUCAAAGAUUUUGUCACUUCAGCUUCUGCUCUCCAUCCUUCAGACUGCAGGCCAUGUGUUCCGUACAAAUGAAAUGUUUAUAAAUGCCAUCAAGCAAUACCUGUGCGUGGCACUGUCCAAAAAUGGUGUGAGUGCUGUACCAGAAGUGUUUGAAUUGUCACUAGCCAUCUUCCUCACACUGCUGUCAAACUUCAAACAGCAUCUCAAGAUGCAGAUCGAGGUGUUCUUCAAGGAGAUAUUCCUAUACAUUCUGGAAACAUCCAGCAGCUCAUUUGAACACAAGUGGAUGGUGAUACAGGCACUCACGAGGAUCUGUGCAGAUGCUCAGUGUGUGGUGGACAUCUACCUCAACUAUGACUGUGAUUUGGCCCUGGCUAAUAUUUUUGAGAGACUUGUUAAUGAUCUAUCAAAGAUUGCACAGGGCAGACAGGCAAUGGAGUUGGGGGCCUCCCCAAACCAAGAGAAGAGUAUGCGCAUCAAGGGUCUGAUGUGCCUGGUGUCCAUCCUCAAGUGCAUGGUGGAGUGGAGUAAGGAUCUCUACAUCAACCCCCACUCCCAGUCUAACCUAGGCCAGGACAACAAGCCCCACACGGAGACUGACAAUGACUCCUUCAAGGGGACAAUAACAAGCUAUGGCAGCAGUAACUCCCUCAGCUCUAACAGCAGUUCCCAGAUGACAACCAGUGCUGCCCCAGACAACCCCGAACAAUACGAGGUCCUCAAGCAGCAGAAGGAGACCAUGGAAACCGGAAUUGAAAUAUUUCACAAAAAGCCUGCAAAGGGGAUAGCAUAUUUGCAAGAACAAGGCCUGCUGGGUAAAAGUCCUGAUGACAUUGCUGAGUUUUUCCAUUCCGAAGACAGGCUAGAUAAGACGGCACUGGGUGAUUUCUUGGGAGAAAAUGAAAAAUUUAACAAGGAAGUCAUGUACACCUAUGUCGACCAGUUGGACUUCGUCGAAAUGGACUUUGUACCUGCACUGAGGAAGUUCUUGGAAGGUUUCCGAUUGCCUGGCGAAGCUCAGAAAAUAGAUAGACUCAUGGAGAAAUUUGCAUCUCGAUACUGUGUUUGUAGUUCGCAGACGGAGCUGUUUGCAAGUGCCGACACAGCUUAUGUGUUGGCGUACUCAAUCAUCAUGCUCACUACAGACCUACACAGUACACAGGUGAAGAGAGAGCACAAAAUGACCAAGGAGCAAUACAUCCGCAUGAACCGCGGCAUCAACGACAGCAAGGACCUGCCAGAGGAGUACCUGUCUGUCAUCUAUGAUGAGAUAGCUGGCAACGAGAUCAAGAUGAAGGCAACUGGAGGACAGAAACCAAGCAAGUCAGCAAAGGAGAUCACCAGCGACAAACAGCGGCGGUUGCUGUACAAUCUGGAGAUGGAGAACAUGGCCCAGACGGCCAAGGUGUUGAUGGAGAGUGUCAGUCAUGUCCAGUCCAGCUUCACAAUGGCAACUCACCUAGAACAUGUCCGACCAAUGUUUAAGAUGGCAUGGACUCCUUUCUUGGCAGCAUUUAGUGUGGGUCUCCAAGACUGUGAUGAUCCAGAAAUUGCCUCCCUUUGUUUGGAUGGCAUCCGAUGUGCAAUUAGGAUAGCCUGUAUUUUCCACAUGGAGCUGGAGCGAGAUGCUUAUGUUCAAGCCUUGGCCCGCUUCACCCUUCUAACUUGUGCAACACCCAUCACCGAGAUGAAAGCUAAAAAUAUAGACACUAUCAAAACCCUGAUCUCCGUGGCCCAUACGGAUGGGAACUACCUGGGCAAGUCGUGGUUGGAGAUCCUGCGAUGCAUCUCUCAGUUAGAGCUAGCACAGUUAAUCGGCACUGGUGUGAAAACAAAAUACAUCUCAGGACACUCCAGCCACUCUCAGGCUGGUCACCCAGUGGAAGCGUUCGACCCCGAAGUGAUUGCCCGGGGGCCCCUGGACCGUCAGCGGCUGGCCAACUUUCAUGAGACAGUUGGGGAGACGAGCUCGCAGAGUGUGGUGGUGGCAGUAGACAGGAUCUUCACAGGCUCGGUCAAACUAGAUGGUGUUGCCGUAGUGGAGUUCACGAAGGCGCUGUGCCAGGUGUCGAUGGACGAGUUGGCCAGCCACAGUCACCCCCGGAUGUUCAGUCUACAGAAGAUCGUGGAGAUCUCCUACUACAACAUGGGCAGGGUCCGUCUGCAGUGGUCCAGGAUAUGGCAGUACCUCGGGGACCACUUCAACAAGGUGGGCUGCAACCCCAAUGAAGACAUUGCUUUCUUUGCUGUUGAUUCCCUCCGUCAGCUCUCCAUGAAGUUCAUUGAAAAAGGAGAGUUUGCAAAUUUCCGUUUCCAGAAAGAUUUCCUAAGGCCUUUUGAGCAUAUCAUGAAAAGAAAUAGAUCCCCAACAAUCCGUGACAUGGUUGUGAGAUGUGUGGCACAGAUGGUCAACUCCCAAGCAGGAAAUAUCCGGUCUGGUUGGAAGAAUAUCUUCAGUGUGUUCCACCUAGCUGCCUCCGACCAUGAUGAGGGGAUCGUGGAACUGGCGUUCCAGACUACCGGCAAAAUUAUUUCCAGCAUAUUUGAGAAACAUUUUUUUGCCGUGAUUGACUCAUUCCAAGAUGCUGUCAAGUGCCUGUCGGAGUUUGCGUGUAACGCUGCAUUCCCUGACACUAGCAUGGAAGCCAUCAGGCUGAUCAGGAACUGUGCCAAGUACGUCGCAGAGAAGCCUCAUAUGUUCCGAGAUCAUACAGGGGAGGAGGUGUCAGUCCCGGAGGAUGACCGGGAGUGGGUGCGAGGAUGGUUCCCAGUGUUAUUUGAACUGUCCUGUGUCAUCAACAGGUGUAAAUUGGAUGUCCGCACACGAGGUCUGACUGUGAUGUUUGAGAUCAUGAAGACGUAUGGAGAAACAUUCCAGCCACAUUGGUGGCGAGAUCUCUUCAAUAUUAUUUUCCGUAUUUUUGAUAACAUGAAACUACCUGAACAGUUGAAUGAGAAGAAUGAAUGGAUGACGACAACAUGUAACCAUGCACUGUAUGCUAUUGUGGAUGUGUUCACGCAGUACUACGAUGUCCUCAGUGAUAUCCUCCUGUCGGACCUCUACCAGAUGCUGCACUGGUGUGUCCAACAGGACAAUGAGCAGUUGGCUCGCUCUGGGACCAACUGCCUGGAGAACCUGGUGAUCUCUAAUGGCAUCAAGUACGCCCCGGAGGUAUGGGAGAAGACCUGCAGGUGCAUGCUGGACAUCUUCAAGUCUACCAUUCCACACUCGUUAUUGUCAUGGAGACCCGAGGAUGAGAUGGACUCUGUGUCACCAUCCAAAGACACUGCCAGUGAUUAUGAUGCAAACUCCAUGGACAAUCAGGACACCAGGUCAGAGUCUGGUCUGUCCCUUGAAAGUAACCACGAGAGCGGCAAGUUGAGGCGAGCGGACAGCAUUGGCAGUAACGUCUCCGUGGAGUCACGGGAUCACAAAAUACCUCGAUCAAAAGUUGCGACUGAGCAGAAGCUGUUCCAGGGCCUGUUGAUCAAGUGUGUGGUGCAGCUCGAGCUCAUCCAGACCAUCGACAACAUCGUCUUCUUCCCCGCCACCAGCAAGAAGGAGGAUGCCGAGUACCUGGCUGCAGCACAGGCUAACAGUGACGAGGCACAGCUGUUUGACCCAUCCCAGCAGAGAGAGGACCAGGGCAUGUACCAGUUCCUCAGCUCCAACCAGCUGUUCAUGCUCGUCGACUGUCUACUCCAGUCCCACAAGUUUGCCAAAGCUUUUAACUCUAACCACGAACAAAGGAAUAUACUCUGGAAAGCUGGUUUUAAAGGUAAAGCCAAACCCAAUUUACUGAAGCAGGAAACACAGAGUCUGGCGUGUCUCUUCCGCAUCCUGUUCCGUAUGUACAAUGAUGAAGCAAGGACAGACGCCUGGCCAGACAUUGAGAAGAAGUUGCUAGAUGUCUGCAGCGAUGCCCUGGAUUACUUCCUGUCCCUGCAGUCUGACAGCCACCGCGAGGCAUGGAGCAGCCUCAUGUUGCUGCUGCUUACUCGAGUCCUUAAGAUGUCCGAUCAGAGGUUCCGAGUCCAUGCAUCCAAGUAUUACCCGUUCCUUUGUGAAUCCAUUAUGUUUGACCUCAAGCAAGAAAUGAGAUCCAUCCUACGCAAGUUCUUCAUCCGAGUCGGACCAGCGUUCGACAUCCUUGAAAAAUAAUCCUGUACAUAAUCAGCCAUCAGCUGUACAUAACUCACAGACUGACAAGACAGGCGAGUGCUUGGCCAUGGGACAACAAGCUUCUGGUGAAGAAACAUGACUGCUGGAGACGCAAGCUGGAACCUCCUUCCAUCGAGACAGUUUCGUUUCCAUGGUAACAGGAAAGAUCUUUUUGUAAUAUUUACUCAGAAAUGUUCCCUGUUACCAUAGAAACAUAGCUUAAUUUGUGUCCUGUUCUAUAAAGGGACAUCAACCCUACAACAGAUGCAACGCCUGUUCUUCUACUUACAAACAGUUCUUGUGGUACUAUGAUCUCCGGAAUACUAACCUGUUCCAUCCCAAAAAUGGGACUAAGAACGUUUUUAAAAAUGAAUUUGUAGGAUACUUUUGGUGGCAUGAAAUUGCUGCUUCUAAUCCAGCAAAAGCCAUUACUAUAGUUUCCAUACAUCCAAAGCAAUAUGUAUACAAAUCUACUCUGUGAUAAGAUGCAGGUUAUGGGAGCAGGUUAACCUGUUUCACAUGAAUUUUGUCUGCUUUAUUUUAGGCUUUGAAAACUUUAAGAAUUUUAAAAUUCAGAGUCAACCAAAUGGACUUUAUUCUUUAUUUAAUUAUUUAUAGCUUACAUAUUUAUUAUGAUAUUAUCUAGGGGUUGAAGAAUGGGAGGUGUCAUGAUUAACAAUCCUGUAUCCUCUGUAUAGCUGUGCCUGUUGCUUGACAGUCAAUAUGGCUGUCAUGUUGUGGGAGUUUAUACAGUACAGCCAGCUAAUCGACUGCGAUAUGUUCUGUUGUUACAAGGUUGUUGCCAUCCAUGUGUGAUACUCCAAGAGGGUUGAGUGCUGAGGUCAGAGCAAGGAUGUCACGUGGAGUUUGUUCAACUAAUCCUGUCAGAUAUCUAUCUGUCAACAGGAUGCUAAAUGUACAUUAUAUGGUUUUAUUCAUGUUGACAGUAUGUGGCUACAAAUAUGCAAUGCUAGGAAAACAUUCAGGGCCUUUCUAGGUAUUGUGCUGGCCCUUAUCAAGCAUAUGUGGUCACCACACAAAUAAUAGGAAGAACUAUUUUGGGUCAUUCUAGGUACUGUUCGGGGUCAUUCUAGGUACUGUGCUGGCCCUUAUCAAGCAUAUGUGGCCGCGACAUACAGCAACACAAAUAAUAGGAAGACAUAUUCGGGGUCAUUCUAGGUAUUGUGCUGGCCCUUAUCAAGCACAUGUGAGUCAUCUACAAUUAUGAAUUACAUAUUUGUCCUGCGUCAGGAAACAUGGAAGAUAGCAGAAAUUUGUUUUCCCGGACAGCACGCUCUUGUCUUGUCUUGUCAUCAUAGUCAGUGGUCAGUAGCGACCAAACAUACUAUACUUACAUGUGAUAUAUUUAGCCAAACCAUGCUGCACUUUUCCACAUCACCAACAGCUUACCUUCUUUGUUUUUUUGUAUAUUGUUGUUUCCAUGGUAAUGCAAGUCAUAACAGCCCCCUCCCCGCUCAUGUCACAGGAGAAUCCAAGCUUAUGUACGUGCAAUGGCAGCAAGGGCUCACCUGUGAUAUGACUAUCUAUCAUUCUUUGGUCAUCCUAUAACUUUCAAAAAGUGUUCUUCUCAUUUCAUAGCUUUGUUGUAAAGGGCUUGAAGCUUGAUUAAUUUAUUACUCAUUUAUGUAACUUUCAUAAAAUUGAUAGGUUGUAUGGAUUCAUUAUCAUAUUCUGUUUCUUAUACUCCGUUUCUUAUACUCCGUUGUCGUUUAUCUAAUCAAAUGUAGUAGUAGCCAGCUGUCAGAUGUGUUUGUAAUCUUGUAUACAGACGUUCCUGACUUGGAAUGUUUGAAGGCAUAGAAUAUUUUGAAUAUAUGUUGUGAUGAAGGAAGCCUACUGCUAUGAUGAUGCAAAUAGAACAUCCUAAUCAGAACAGUGUUUUACUUUCUCUUUGAUAAUGUUCUAGUCAACUUGAUACCGAUAGCUAUGUAUGAUUGUGAAAGAAAUGUAUGUUUAAUCUUUCAAAAUUAUCAACAGUUUUGAGAAGGUGGAUUUGAGAACACAGAAAUGAGUGUUUUGGGUAAGGAUAAUAAAAUAAAAAUGUGGUCUUGAGGCAAUCACUUUUGAAUAAUAAUCAACUUAAACGUUAGCCUUGGUUUCCGUUCACUACCAGUUUCAGUUUUCAUUUCAAGUGUGCCGUUCAAGUGUUCCUAUGGAGUCCUGUGAAAAUGAGAGAAUGUGUGUAGAUUAAUACAUAUAUAGGGAUUUAUGAGUUUAAAUAAAGUGCACAACUAGAUGAAUGAAAUGAUAUUUUUAUGAUAUUUUGUCAUCACAUAAAUUGCCUUGUUAAAUGUGUAUGAAAUUUGAUGGUAAUAUAUUUCAGAGUUUUAAUGUGUAGAUGUCCGUGCAGACAAGGCUGUGAUGCAUUACAGAUGUUAGGGUACAAAACCUGUUUCCUUCCUACCAACUGCCCAUGUUCCUGUUCCAUGACCAGGGUUGGAUAAGACCACUAGUGCUGUGACCAGCUAAAAUCUGAACGGACUGCUAGUUUUGAAAUAGCUAUGUUGUGUUAACCACUGUCUGAAAUUAGCUAUUAGGAUUUUAUUACUCAUGGUGUCUACUCUAUCAAGAUUUGAAUCGGCGAGUGUUCAUGUAUAUUAGAAAUACACCAAAACCAUACACGUCUCUGGGCCAGAAUAUGAUAUUGUGACUCAGCAGCACCCACAAGGCAGGUAUUCUAAUGGAAUCUCUGAAAACAAAUUUAACUUGUGUAUGAUUUUUGUUAGCGUUCCUUUGUUUAUAUUCUGACUGACUAGGGCGUUCAUUAUGGCGAAUAUGAUAGAUCAUGCAUGUAGUUUAUAUGUCAGUGAGCAAACAUUAUAUAUGUACGUAAUCACAUCCCCUGCCUCAGUAGAGCUACAUUUGCUUCUUUGUCUGUCUUCUAAGCACUGGUCCUACAACUGAGCUCAUGAUGCUGAGUAGUUAAUGUAUCAAUAUAUAUCAGAGGUGGAUCCAGGAUUCAGCAGAACAUUGUAGUGGCUAGACCAAAAGGUGAAUGUGCAUCCGUGCAUCCAUCUUUAUCUGCAUCCCUGCACAGGACUAGAAUUAACUUUGUACGGUUGCAUACAUUAUUUGUGAGGACUAGUGACUUAACUGGGUUUUCUAUUCAUGUCUUAUGAUAAUGAGAUUGGUUUGUUGUUUAACGCCGCACUCAGCAAUAUUCCAGCUAUAUGAUAGCGGUCUGUAAAUAAUCGAGUCUGGACCAGACAAUCCAGUGACUAAUAUCAUGAACAUCGAUGAGAUGGUUGAAGUUGAUGCUAGCACUGAACUGACUCACCACUGGUGCAGCUGUUGGGGAAGCACCAUGUGCUUUCAAUUUGCUUUCAAUGUGCUUCAAUAGGGUUGAAUAAUAAACAAAGCUUGGACUGCCAUACAUGAUGUCUUAUUGUCUUAUAAUGAUGAUUAUUAAACAGACAUUAGGUCCAGAUAUCUAAGCAUUGCAAGAUUAAUGUACGGAGUAUUGGGGGUAACGUUCAAAAUGUCCGGUAUGCAUGUAUUCUGGCAAUGAUUUUUGGUAGAACAAAUGUGUUUAGUGCCAUGUUGUUUGUGUGAUAUUAGGCUAGGUCUGUUGUUUCCACUUCAUCAACAAGAUUGUUAAGUGAUAUGAUCACACAUGUCUAUACUUGUGAUGCUGUGAAAUGCUAAUCAAGACAAAUGAAAUAACUGGAAACUCAACCCAAAUACUUUUAGUAGACAGCUACAGAUAAGCUGUGUAUUUGCGUAAAAUACCCCCCAAAACUAUUUAAAACCCAAUUACUUUCAAUUAACUUGCGUACAGAAACGCAUCCAUUAAAUGGAAAAUUAAAUGGAAAUUGUUUGAAAACAGCGUGCGUAAAUACCCAAUGAAGCAUUUUAGGCAUGCAAACAAUGGAGCUAAUUUCUGAAACACAUUUACGAGCUAUCAAGCCUAUAUUUAGAACCAUUAUACAGUGAUCCCUCGAUAUACCGCUGUCAUCAGGGUCCAAGAAACUGACCCCGCGGUGUAUUACAUCUAAAACAUUAUUUCAUUUUUUUUUUAAAUCUCAAAAUGGUUACUCAUAUUGGGAAAAACCCAAUAGAGUGUUGAAUAGGUGAGUGAAAAAAUAUUGGUUACCCAGUGAAAAAUGUGAUAACCCAAUGAAAAUAGAACCCGUGGAGUAAAAACUCAAUUGCUCAACAAGUUAUCUGGAGCUCUUGUAGAUUGGACUUGACAGCUGCUUGACAAGUUAAGAUCUUUAUCUUAAGAUAUGUUUUUGAUUCAUGUUGAUAAGAGAAGCAUGUCCUUAUGUAAGUAUACUGCUUUUAGCUAAUGAUACAGUAGUCAUUAAAGAUGUCUCUAGAAUUGAUACUAAUGGUGAAUGGUUUUAACCCAAUCAGCAACAAUUACUAUUUAUUUACACAGAGUGACUAGUGUUGGUAUUAUAAAUGAUUAUCACAUCAUUAAAUUGGAGUAUUGCUGCACGUUUGUAAUGAGGAAUUAAUCACAAUUGAUUUAAUAGUGGCACCUGUUUUGUUUUGUUACUGUCUUGCGAGUAUAUCUCUUUUAGUUGUUAUAAUGUUACAUCAUGUCAUUUUUAGUUUUCAUAUUUUUUUGGUGCACAUAUAUUAUUGUUUUUGGUGUAGAAGUCGCAGUUGAAAUGAUUGACUGUGAAGAGGACUAUGGUAGAACCAGUGUGCAUUGUCCUAUUGUCUGAAAUUCUGAUAAUGCUUAUGGAAUCUGUUCCUCAGUCUUUGAUAUACAAUGUAUCUACAGCAGCCAUCAAAAUUCAUGCUAGUCCACUAGCCCGAGGGUACUAAAUUGUGCUGAGGACAAGUAACAAUCCAAUGAUGGUAGUCCUCAUUGACUGGUUCCAUUUGAGGGCUAUGAUUCUGAACCAGUUUUCAAUGCUUCAAUUUUGCUACAGAUUAGAAGUCAAUAAAACAGACAUAAAAAAAAAAUGGUAAAUAAUUUGUCUCAUUCAAGAAGGAUGAACUACAAACUGAGGAAUAGUGAAUUAAGGAUUACA
rnacentral:misc_RNA from 1 species